GAUGAACGCUGGCGGCGUGCCUAAUACAUGCAAGUCGAGCGAACAGACGAGGAGCUUGCUCCUCUGACGUUAGCGGCGGACGGGUUAGUAACACGUGGAUAACCUACCUAUAAGACUGGGAUAACUUCGGGAAACCGGAGCUAAUACCGGAUAAUAUAUUGAACCGCAUGGUUCAAUAGUGAAAGACGGUUUUGCUGCCACUUAUAGAUGGAUCCGCGCCGCAUUAGCUAGUUGGUAAGGUAACGGCUUACCAAGGCAACGAUGCGUAGCCGACCUGAGAGGGUGAUCAGCCACACUGGAACUGAGACACGGUCCAGACUCCUACGGGAGGCAGCAGUAGGGAAUCUUCCGCAAUGGGCGAAAGCCUGACGGAGCAACGCCGCGUGAGUGAUGAAGGUCUUCGGAUCGUAAAACUCUGUUAUUAGGGAAGAACAAAUGUGUAAGUAACUAUGCACGUCUUGACGGUACCUAAUCAGAAAGCCACGGCUAACUACGUG
rnacentral:rRNA from 1 species